GGUGCUGUAGACUAAUUGGUUAGGUCGGCUCCACGAAAUGGAGAAGAUGCGGGUUCGAUUUCCACUGACACCC